rnacentral:rRNA from 1 species
GACGAACGCUGGCGGCGUGCUUAACACAUGCAAGUCGAACGGAAAGGCCCUGCUUUUGUGGGGUGCUCGAGUGGCGAACGGGUGAGUAACACGUGAGUAACCUGCCCUUUACUUUGGGAUAACUUCAGGAAACUGGGGCUAAUACCGGAUAGGAGCUCCUGCUGCAUGGUGGUGGUUGGAAAGUUUCGGCGGUUGGGGAUGGACUCGCGGCUUAUCAGCUUGUUGGUGGGGUAGUGGCUUACCAAGGCUUUGACGGGUAGCCGGCCUGAGAGGGUGAACGGCCACAUUGGGACUGCGAUACGGCCCAGACUCCUACGGGGGGCAGCAGUGGGGAAUAUUGCCCAAUGGGCGGAAGCCUGAUGCAGCAACGCCGCGUGCGGGAUGACGGCCUUCGGGUUGUAAACCGCUUUCGCCUGCGACGAAGCGUGAGUGACGGUAAUGGGUAAAGAAGCACCGGCUAACUACGUG